UGCAAGUCGAACGGCAGCACGGGUGCUUGCACCUGGUGGCGAGUGGCGAACGGGUGAGUAAUACAUCGGAACAUGUCCUGUAGUGGGGGAUAGCCCGGCGAAAGCCGGAUUAAUACCGCAUACGAUCUACGGAUGAAAGCGGGGGACCUUCGGGCCUCGCGCUAUAGGGUUGGCCGAUGGCUGAUUAGCUAGUUGGUGGGGUAAAGGCCUACCAAGGCGACGAUCAGUAGCUGGUCUGAGAGGACGACCAGCCACACUGGGACUGAGACACGGCCCAGACUCCUACGGGAGGCAGCAGUGGGGAAUUUUGGACAAUGGGCGAAAGCCUGAUCCAGCAAUGCCGCGUGUGUGAAGAAGGCCUUCGGGUUGUAAAGCACUUUUGUCCGGAAAGAAAUCCUUGGUUCUAAUAUAGCCGGGGGAUGACGGUACCGGAAGAAUAAGCACCGGCUAACUACGUGCCAGCAGCCGCGGUAAUACGUAGGGUGCAAGCGUUAAUCGGAAUUACUGGGCGUAAAGCGUGCGCAGGCGGUUUGUUAAGACCGAUGUGAAAUCCCCGGGCUCAACCUGGGAACUGCAUUGGUGACUGGCAAGCUAGAGUAUGGCAGAGGGGGGUAGAAUUCCACGUGUAGCAGUGAAAUGCGUAGAGAUGUGGAGGAAUACCGAUGGCGAAGGCAGCCCCCUGGGCCAAUACUGACGCUCAUGCACGAAAGCGUGGGGGAGCAAACAGGAUUAGAUACCCUGGUAGUCCACGCCCUAAACGAUGUCAACUAGUUGUUGGGGAUUCAUUUCCUUAGUAACGUAGCUAACGCGUGAAGUUGACCGCCUGGGGAGUACGGUCGCAAGAUUAAAACUCAAAGGAAUUGACGGGGACCCGCACAAGCGGUGGAUGAUGUGGAUUAAUUCGAUGCAACGCGAAAAACCUUACCUACCCUUGACAUGGUCGGAAUCCCGCUGAGAGGUGGGAGUGCUCGAAAGAGAACCGGCGCACAGGUGCUGCAUGGCUGUCGUCAGCUCGUGUCGUGAGAUGUUGGGUUAAGUCCCGCAACGAGCGCAACCCUUGUCCUUAGUUGCUACGCAAGAGCACUCUAAGGAGACUGCCGGUGACAAACCGGAGGAAGGUGGGGAUGACGUCAAGUCCUCAUGGCCCUUAUGGGUAGGGCUUCACACGUCAUACAAUGGUCGGAACAGAGGGUUGCCAACCCGCGAGGGGGAGCUAAUCCCAGAAAACCGAUCGUAGUCCGGAUUGCACUCUGCAACUCGAGUGCAUGAAGCUGGAAUCGCUAGUAAUCGCGGAUCAGCAUGCCGCGGUGAAUACGUUCCCGGGUCUUGUACACACCGCCCGUCACACCAUGGGAGUGGGUUUUACCAGAAGUGGCUAGUCUAACCGCAAGGAGGACGGUCACC
rnacentral:rRNA from 1 species